rnacentral:rRNA from 1 species
AUUGAACGCUGGCGGCAGGCCUAACACAUGCAAGUCGAACGAGUGACGGACGGGUGAGUAAUGUCUGGGAGACUGCCCGAGGGAGGGGGAUAACUACUGGAAACGGUAGCUAAUACCGCACACCAUCGGAUGUGCCCAAAUGGGAUUAGCUUGUAGGUGGGGUAACGGCUCACCUAGGCGACGAUCCCUAGCUGGUCUGAGAGGAUGACCAGCGACACUGGCACAGAUACACAGUCCAGACUGCGUCGGGUGGUAGCAGUGGCGAAUGGUGCAUAUGGGGCGCAUGCCCGAUGCAGCGAGGGCGGGGGUAUGAAGAAGGCAUACGGGUUGUAAAGUAUUUACAGCUGGGCGGCGUUACCUUUUGAAGAAGCACCGGCUAACUCCGUGCUAGCAGCCGCGGUAAUAC